UACAGAGGAGCCAAGCGUUGUCCGGAUUGACUGGGCGUAAAGCGCACGCAGGCGGACGCGCGCGUGGGGUGUGAAAUCUGGCCGCUUAACGGCCAGGCGCCAUCCCAUACGGCGCGUCUGGAGUGAUGCAGAGGUCGAUGGAAUUGCCGGUGUAGUGGUGAAAUGCGUAGAGAUCGGCAGGAACACCCAGGGGGAAACCAGUCGACUGGGCAUCUACUGACGCUGAGGUGCGAAAGCGUGGGGAGCGAACAGG
rnacentral:rRNA from 1 species